rnacentral:rRNA from 1 species
AGUGAACGCUGGCGGUAGGCCUAACACAUGCAAGUCGAACGGCAGCACAGUAAGAGCUUGCUCUUACGGGUGGCGAGUGGCGGACGGGUGAGGAAUACAUCGGAAUCUACUUUUUCGUGGGGGAUAACGUAGGGAAACUUACGCUAAUACCGCAUACGACCUACGGGUGAAAGCAGGGGAUCUUCGGACCUUGCGCGAUUGAAUGAGCCGAUGUCGGAUUAGCUAGUUGGCGGGGUAAAGGCCCACCAAGGCGACGAUCCGUAGCUGGUCUGAGAGGAUGAUCAGCGACACUGGAACUGAGACACGGUCCAGACUCCUACGGGAGGCAGCAGUGGGGAAUAUUGGACAAUGGGCGCAAGCCUGAUGCAGCCAUACCGCGUGGGUGAAGAAGGCCUUCGGGUUGUAAAGCCCUUUUGUUGGGAAAGAAAAGCAGCAGGUUAAGACCCCGCUGUUCUGACGGUACCCAAAGAAUAAGCACCGGCUAACUUCGUG